GUGAACGCUGGCGGUAGGCCUAACACAUGCAAGUCGAACGGCAGCACAGUAAGAGCUUGCUCUUACGGGUGGCGAGUGGCGGACGGGUGAGGAAUACAUCGGAAUCUACUUUUUCGUGGGGGAUAACGUAGGGAAACUUACGCUAAUACCGCAUACGACCUACGGGUGAAAGCAGGGGAUCUUCGGACCUUGCGCGAUUGAAUGAGCCGAUGUCGGAUUAGCUAGUUGGCGGGGUAAAGGCCCACCAAGGCGACGAUCCGUAGCUGGUCUGAGAGGAUGAUCAGCCACACUGGAACUGAGACACGGUCCAGACUCCUACGGGAGGCAGCAGUGGGGAAUAUUGGACAAUGGGCGCAAGCCUGAUCCAGCCAUACCGCGUGGGUGAAGAAGGCCUCCGGGUUGUAAAGCCCUUUUGUUGGGAAAGAAAAGCAGCAGGUUAAUACCCCGCUGUUCUGACGGUACCCAAAGAAUAAGCACCGGCUAACUUCGU
rnacentral:rRNA from 1 species